GUGAGGAAUUUUCCGCAAUGGGCGAAAGCCUGACGGAGCAAUGCCGCGUGAAGGAUGAAGGCCUAUGGGUUGUAAACUUCUUUUCUCAGAAAAGAAUUAUGACGGUAUCUGAGGAAUAAGCAUCGGCUAACUCUGUGCCAGCAGCCGCGGUAAGACAGAGGAUGCAAGCGUUAUCCGGAAUGAUUGGGCGUAAAGCGUCUGUAGGUUGUUUAAAAAGUAUUCUGUCAAAGAUUAGGGCUUAACCCUAGAUAGGCAGAAUAAACUUUUAAGCUAGAGUUUGGUAGAGGCAGAGGGAAUUCCCGGUGGAGCGGUGAAAUGCUUAGAUAUCGGGAGGAACACCAAAGGCGAAGGCACUCUGCUGGGCCAAUACUAACACUGAGAGACGAAAGCGAGGGGAGCAAAUGGGAUUAGAAACCCUAGUAGUCC
rnacentral:rRNA from 1 species